rnacentral:rRNA from 1 species
GGACCUUACCUGGCCUUGACAUGGUAGGAACCCUUAAGAGAUUAGGGGGUGCUAGCUUGCUAGAACCUACACACAGGUGCUGCACGGCUGUCGUCAGCUCGUGUCGUGAGAUGUUGGGUUAAGUCCCGCAACGAGCGCAACCCUCGUCUUUAGUUGCUAACAGUUAGGCUGAGCACUCUAAAGAGACUGCCUCCGUAAGGAGGAGGAAGGUGAGGACGACGUCAAGUCAUCAUGGCCCUUACGGCCAGGGCUACACACGUGCUACAAUGGGGCGUACAGAGAGCUGCAAUACCGCGAGGUGGAGCCAAUCUCUUAAAGCGUCUCUCAGUUCGGAUUGUUCUUUGCAACUUGAGAAUCAUGAAGCUGGAAUCAGCUAGUAU